rnacentral:rRNA from 1 species
AGUGAACGCUGGCGGUAGGCCUAACACAUGCAAGUCGAACGGCAGCACAGUAAGAGCUUGCUCUUACGGGUGGCGAGUGGCGGACGGGUGAGGAAUACAUCGGAAUCUACUUUUUCGUGGGGGAUAACGGAGGGAAACUUACGCUAAUACCGCAUACGACCUACGGGUGAAAGCAGGGGAUCUUCGGACCUUGCGCGAUUGAAUGAACCGAUGUCGGAUUAGCUAGUUGGCGGGGUAAAGGCCCACCAAGGCGACGAUCCGUAGCUGGUCUGAGAGGAUGAUCAGCCACACUGGAACUGAGACACGGUCCAGACUCCUACGGGAGGCAGCAGUGGGGAAUAUUGGACAAUGGGCGCAAGCCUGAUCCAGCCAUACCGCGUGGGUGAAGAAGGCCUUCGGGUUGUAAAGCCCUUUUGUUGGGAAAGAAAAGCAGCAGGUUAAUACCCCGCUGUUCUGACGGUACCCAAAGAAUAAGCACCGGCUAACUUCGUG